UCGAGCUUUUAUAUGUGACGCACCUGCGCGAGCGUUUAUCCUUGGUAUCAAAGGUCAUUGUGGAUAUUCGUGUUGUCCUAAAUGCAUACAGAAAGGCCAGUCUAAAAAUCACAAAAUAAUUUUUGAUAAAGAAAAUAGUCUUCCUCGAACUGAUACCGAUUUUCGUGCUCGUGUUGAUAGAGCCCAUCAUGUAAUUUUAGAACCGAUGGUAGUUGAAAAGCUUCCAAUAGAUAUUGUUAAAUCGUUUGCUUUGGAUUACAUGCAUGUAGUCUGUCUAGGAGUUACAGAGACUUUAUUGUUGGCCUGGAUAAAAAAACGUAAAAAACGUUAUUCACUUAAACAGAAACAAAUUCAAGCAUUAGAUUCAAGAAUUAUGUUUAUUUGCAAUCAGGUGCCGCGGGAGUUUGCUAGGCACCCACGUUCUUUGAAAGAUGUUUAGCGGUUUAAAGCCACAGAGUUUAGGUGCUUUCUUCUCUAUACUGGAAUAUUUUUACUAAAAGAAAUUUUAGAUCCGGUAAAAUAUAACCAUUUUUUGCUUCUUUCACUAAGCAUUAGGAUUCUUUUAAGUCAAAGUAAUUAUAUUAAGUACAAUAGAUGUGCAAGUCAAAUGCUGGAAAAAUUCGUAGAACUUGUGCCUCAGUAUUAAGAUGAUGAUUUCCUUACAUUCAAUUUUCAUUGCUUAACACAUCUCGCAAGUGAUACUGUAAAUUUUGGAUGUCUUGAAUCUUUUAGUGCAUUUAAAUUUGAAAAUUACUUAUGGAAAUUGAAAAGAAAGAUAAAAAAGCAUAACCAUGUCGUCUCACAAGUAUACAAUCGUUUAGUUGAGGACAGUUUUAGGUCAAACAAUACUAUGAAUCCAUCGACUGAAAUUAAAAAAGGAAAAUUUAGAAAUGAUUCAUUAAUAUUUGUACAAUCUUCAAAGUUUUACUUUUCGCCGAAAGAACCUGAUAACUUUUACAGCGUUAAGGGCAAAAUAUUUAAAUUAGUAGCUAUAAAUAAGGCCACAAAGCUACUUGGAAAGGAAGUUCUGAAUUUACAGGAUUAUUUUGAAACACCUAUCUCAUCAGGAAUUCUCAAUAUCAAGUCAUGUGAAGUCCUAAAAAUUUCGUCUUCCGUCUAUCAUCACAACUUAGAUGAAAUAUCAGAAAAAUUAUAAAAUUUAGUAACUACGAGUCUGACAUCAACUUGUUCAUUCCUUUCCUUCAUUAAUUUUUUUUUUGAUAUUUAAAUAUUUGUAAGCAUUAAUAACAUAUAAACGUACAUAAAUUAUUCGGACAGAAAAUGGAUUUUAACCACAUCAUAGAAGAAGCAUCAGCAAAUACUCCUGUAACUAAAAAAGAUAUUGAUUUGCUUGAGAAAAGGAUAUUGGACCGUAUAAAACAGUCGGAAAAUAAAAUACUGAAAGGAAAGAAAAUGGCUAUGCGACUUUUGUAGCUGCAUAUAUUGGCGUUUUACCAUUCAGUCUAUGUGACAACUUAUGAAACGUCAAAAAUAUGUGUUUUAAUGUUAUUCGAUACGUUUUUGUAUUACAGAAAUAGACCACAAUCAAAAAUCCAUAAAGAAGGCCCUGACACGAAUUUUGCAAGAAACAAAAGAAACAAAGCAGACUACAAAGACAAGCCACAAAUCACGAAGUGAGCUGCUCCUGAAAGUUCCAUUUGAUAACUUGGAACAAUUUCAAAAUUUUGAAAAAGAUAUACAGGAGCAUUCCAGCAAAUUUAAUGAACUGAAGGAGGAAUUUUUCACAGUAUCUGGCCACACAGCUGAAAGGAUCGUAA